AGUGAACGCUGGCGGUAGGCCUAACACAUGCAAGUCGAACGGCAGCACAGUAAGAGCUUGCUCUUACGGGUGGCGAGUGGCGGACGGGUGAGGAAUACAUCGGAAUCUACUUUUUCGUGGGGGAUAACGUAGGGAAACUUACGCUAAUACCGCAUACGACCUACGGGUGAAAGCAGGGGAUCUUCGGACCUUGCGCGAUUGAAUGAGCCGAUGUCGGAUUAGCUAGUUGGCGGGGGAAAGGCCCACCAAGGCGACGAUCCGUAGCUGGUCUGAGAGGAUGAUCAGCCGCACUGGAACUGGGACACGGUCCAGACUCCUACGGGAGGCAGCAGAGGGGAAUAUUGGGCAAUAGGCGCAAGCCUGAUCCAGCCAUACCGCGUGGGUGAAGAAGGCCUUCGGGUUGUAAAGCCCUUUUGUUGGGAAAGAAAAGCAGCAGGUUAAUACCCCGCUGUUCUGACGGUACCCAAAGAAUAAGCACCGGCUAACUUCGUG
rnacentral:rRNA from 1 species